UGGGGAAUAUUGGACAAUGGGCGGAAGCCUGAUCCAGCAACGCCGCGUGAGGGAUGACGGCCUUCGGGUUGUAAACCUCUUUCAGUACCGACGAAGCGAAAGUGACGGUAGGUACAGAAGAAGGACCGGCCAACUACGUGCCAGCAGCCGCGGUAAUACGUAGGGUCCGAGCGUUGUCCGGAAUUAUUGGGCGUAAAGGGCUCGUAGGCGGUUUGUCGCGUCGGGAGUGAAAACAGCGGGCUUAACUCGUUGCUUGCUUUCGAUACGGGGCAGACUAGAGGUAUGCAGGGGGAGAAUGGAAUUCCUGGUGUAGUGGUGAAAUGCGCAGAUAUCAGGAGGAACACCGGUGGCGAAGGCGGUUCUCUGGGCAUUACCUGACGCUGAGGAGCGAAAGUGUGGGGAGCGAACAGGAUUAGAUACCCUGGUAGUCCACACCGUAAACGUUGGGCGCUAGGUGUGGGGUCCUUUCCACGGAUUCCGUGCCGUAGCUAACGCAUUAAGCGCCCCGCCUGGGGAGUACGGCCGCAAGGCUAAAACUUAAAAUGAAUUGACGGGGUCAUAGCUGUUUCCUG
rnacentral:rRNA from 1 species